ensembl:snRNA U6 U6 spliceosomal RNA
CUGCUUUGGCAGCACAUUUACUAAAAUUAGAAUGAAUCAGAGAAAAUUAUCAUGGGCUAUGUGCAAAGAUGACAUGCAAAUUUGUGAAGCAUUUCAUAUUUUU